CUACUCGCUCUUCCUCCGGAAAACCGAGAGCAGGCGCGGACCGCUUUGCUUCCGGGGCAGGCCUUGACAGCGGCUUCCCCGACCCCGCUCAGCCAGCGGCUCGGCACUUUGGAGCAUGUGAACACGCUGAGCCUUGAUGAGUUCCAGUAUGUGGUAUAUUAUGCAGAGCAUUCAGAGCAAAUACUCUCUCUCAGAGCGCUUAAUCCGAACAAUCGCUGCCAUCCGUUCCUUCCCACAUGAUAACGUAGAGGACCUCAUCAGAGGGGGAGCAGAUGUGAACUGCACUCACGGGACACUGAAGCCCCUGCACUGUGCCUGCAUGGUGUCAGAUGCUGACUGUGUGGAGUUACUCCUGGAAAAAGGAGCAGAGGUGAAUGCCCUGGAUGGUUACAACCGAACAGCCCUCCACUAUGCAGCAGAAAAAGAUGAGGCUUGUGUGGAAGUCCUGUUGGAAUAUGGCGCAAACCCCAAUGCACUGGAUGGCAACAGAGAUACCCCUCUUCACUGGGCAGCCUUUAAGAACAAUGCUGAGUGUGUGCGGGCUCUUCUGGAGAGUGGGGCCUCUGUAAAUGCCCUGGAUUACAACAAUGAUACACCUCUCAGCUGGGCUGCCAUGAAGGGAAAUCUUGAGAGCGUCAGCAUCCUUCUUGAUUAUGGUGCUGAGGUCAGAGUCAUCAACUUAAAAGGCCAGACACCCAUCUCUCGCCUGGUGGCUCUGCUAGUCAGAGGACUUGGAACAGAGAAAGAGGACUCCUGCUUUGAGCUCCUCCAUAGAGCUGUUGGACACUUCGAAUUAAGGAAAAACGGCACCAUGCCACGAGAAGUAGCCAAAGACCAGCAGCUGUGUGAAAAACUGACUGUGUUGUGCUCAGCACCAGGGACUCUGAAAACACUCUCCCGCUAUGCUGUACGCCGUAGCCUGGGUCUCCAGUAUCUACCGGAUGCAGUGAAGGGUCUUCCACUGCCCGCUUCUUUGAAGGAAUACCUGUUACUUGUAGAAUAGCCUGGAGGAGACAUUUGCGCCAUCACGUGGGCAGCUCUGGGUGAGGUUUUCACUGCAGUACUGUCUCUUUGUCACGGAACACAAAAAAGAACUUGUUCCUUUUGUGUGGUUUAUACAUUUUGAGGCAACAUGUCGCAGCAGUAACACACACCACCUCCCCUCUCAUACCAAACAACCAAAGAAAUCCCUCACUUUUGUUUGAGCUUCUGUUGCUUAGUUGGCUUUUUACAGUGCACCCUGCAAAAGGGCUCCCUCAUCCUCCCCUUUAGGACACUUUAAUGUCAACAGUGCAACUAAAUUUCCCUAGGAGGAUGGAAAGUGUUGAGAGUGUGUGGUUUUCCUUUGGGGACAUGAUUUAGUAUUGCAGAAGACCUUCUAGAAAGCUCUUUAGUUCAUCUGUGAAGAAGUUUAAGAAUAAUCACAAUUCCAGUUAACAAGAAUUAUGUCCCAAGGAUGAACACUCGAACCUGACUCAAAGUGGGCGUUCAGAAAGGACUGGUUCCUCUCUCCUCACCAAAAGAGUUAAGUCUUUGCUUUUUUUUCUCCCUGAAAGCCAAUUUGCACUAAUGGGCUUAACAUGGAUUUCCUGCGCCUUGGGUUGAGGUGUUUGCUCCAGCAGGGGAGAUGGGGCUCCUUUCCCUUGGGUCCUCAUUCCCUAUGGAAAGGGCUCAACUAGGCGUUUGGACUUGUUUUUCUUUCCACGGUCUUGGAAACUUUGCUCUUUACUGAGCCAUAGCAGAUGCUGGUAGGAGACGGAGCUGAGAAGGGAAUGGAGAAUGGAGAAGAGCUGCUUUUGAGCUGGCCACCUACCCAUAAGACCUAGUCGAGUUUCUGUCAGAUGGAGUCUGGCUUUCAUCCAAGAAAGAGUCGAGAGGAGGAGUUGAAAAGGAAGAAUGUGGGGCUGGAAAGAUGGCUCAGCAGUUAAGAGCACUGAUUGCUCUUGCAGAGGACCCGGGUUCGAUUCCCAGCACCCACAGGGUGGCUACGAACCGUCCUUAAUUCCAGUUCCAGGGGAAUCCGAAGCCCUCUUCUGACCUCCAUGGCAUUGCAUGAAACAGGUGCACUCACAUAUAUGCAGGCAAUAUACUCAUACACAUAAAAUAAAAAUAAAAUUUUUAAAAAAGAAAAGAAUGCUAAGUUUGGGAGCAGAGAUUUUGGGAUGCUGGGGAGAAGCAAGCCUAGGUAAUAGGCGUAUGAUCAAGAAGUAAAGCAUACCCUCACACUUGGGGAGAUAGGAGGAUCCUCUUGUCUUCAGAGAAUGCCAGAGGGACUAGUGGGAGAUGGGGCUGAGAGUUGGUACCCUGUGUUCGAGGACGCAAUACACAGCCAAGAGAUGCUGCAAAAAAAUACUCCAGCAAGCCGAAGUGCUCAUGAUAAUCAUGCGCUGUUUUCUCCCAGGUCUGUCUGGGUAGGUCUGGUACAUGGAGCUGAUAGUACUACACUCCCCUUGUGAGAUGAGAACAGGAGAACCAAAAGCACAGUGACCAGUUGGCAUUUAUUAGUGUAGUUAUAGUUUGUCACUGUAGUAAAAGUAGAUGAACUAAGAUUCUUCGUUAUCACAAAGAAAUAAAUAAAGCUGAUUUUUAGGAAAAUUCUAACGGAGUAGCUGAAACCUAGCAGUAGCACUAGAGGAAUCCAGCCUCUGUGGCAGACGAAGCUGGGG